AGGGGAAGCCUUUGUUCUCGAAAUGGAAAGACCUCAAACUCGGCGUGGAAGCUCCGAUACCAAUUCCUUUUGGGAACAACAUCAGCAACAAUUGGAAGCCAAUACCAGUCAAAGUGGAGGAGACGGUGCAGUAAUCACUUCGUCGUCCAGACCAUUAACAAGAAUGGCGAACGAGUACGGAGUCCAAAAAUCAAGUGGAAUGAUGUCUGCUGGAUUCGCACAACGAAUGUCUAGCGUCAAUCGCCCUGGAUCUCGUGCUGGAACAGCUGCAUCAGGAGCCAAUGCUAUGAGAGCAGUCACGGCGUACGGUCAUAAUACGGCAGCAGCCGACCGACCAACAACUCAGCAAGGACUGGGAGGUUUAAAAACAGCUUCACGUGGACUACCUCAAAGGCAAAUACAAGAUAAAUCUUAUUAUUUGGGAGUGUUGCGGGCCAAAAUGACGGAGGUGAACGCAGAAAUGGGGAAACUUACCAAGGGCAUUGAGAAAAACAACAAAGAAUUGCAAAGUCUACCGUCAUUGGAAAAGCGAGUGAAAGAAAUGGCCGCGGAAAUAACGGAUUUGCAGAGUCAGGCUGCCGAUUUGAAUUUACUUCAAGAAAAGAUCGCCAUCAGCAGUGAUGCCUCGCAGAUGGAAAUAGAACUUCAGUCGUUGCUGAUUCAGAAUGAACGCGAAGCUCACGAAGCCGAAGAUAUUUUUGAGAUUGUCAAAGCAGUCAAGGAGAAAAUUGCAUCGCUAGAACGGGAGAUUCAAAUGGAAAACGACGAGGCAGAGAAAUUGAUCACAUCUUUAACACCAGAAGAUCAGGAAAAUACUCGCAGUUAAAGACUGAGCAGAAUAGAUUGGCUAAGGAAGUCGAAAAUACAACUACGCAGUUAACUGUGUUGGAAGCUCGUGCUCGAAAAUUGGAAGAAGAAUUACGUCUCUCACCCGCAAAAGAAGAAAUGUUUCAGCUGCGCCAGUCUCUAUCUCAGUUGGAAACCAAAUACGAGCAGAUGAACGAACAAGAUGCAAAACGUCUGGAUCCGGAAGGGGAGCGAGCGCAGCUGGUGGCCAAUGUCAAGAGUGACAAU